ensembl:snRNA
GUGUUGUAUGAAAAGAGAUAAGGUUAGCAUUCCCCUUGACCAGGAUGAAAGAGGCCCUCAGGCUUGACAAACAUGCAUAGGGUUAAUUUUUUUU